rnacentral:rRNA from 1 species
CCUACGGGAGGCAGCAGUGAGGAAUAUUGGUCAAUGGGCGCGAGCCUGAACCAGCCAAGUAGCGUGAAGGAUGACUGCCCUACGGGUUGUAAACUUCUUUUAUAAAGGAAUAAAGUGAGGCACGUGUGCCUUUUUGUAUGUACUUUAUGAAUAAGGAUCGGCUAACUCCGUGCCAGCAGCCGCGGUAAUACGGAGGAUCCGAGCGUUAUCCGGAUUUAUUGGGUUUAAAGGGAGCGUAGAUGGGUAGUUAAGUCAGUUGUGAAAGUUUGCGGCUCAACCGUAAGAUUGCAAUUGAUACUGGCAGUCUUGAGUACAGUAGAGGUAGGCGGAAUUCGUGGUGUAGCGGUGAAAUGCGUAGAUAUCACGAAGAACACCGAUGGCGAAGGCAGCUUACUAAACUGCCACUGACAUUGAGGCGCGAAAGUGUGGGGAUCAAACAGGAUUAGAUACCCCAGUAGUC